AUGUCAAUAAGGCGAGGAACAGAAACCAACCGGGAUUCCCCCAGUAGUGGCGAAUGAAGUGGGAAAAGCUCAAGUUUGAAGUCGGCGGGCGGAAACGCUAGUCGAAUUGUAGUCUAGAGAAAGCAACCAUACUGGCAUAUGGAGCGGUCUGAAAUGUGUUGGAACACACUCCCAUGGAAGGUGAGAGGCCUGUAAGAACGCAAACGUGGUCGGCCGGGUGUUUCGAUGAGUCGGGUUGUUUGGGAUUGCAGCCUUAAAUGUGUGGUAAAUUUCACAUAAAGCUAUAAUAAUGGCAAGAGACCGAUAGCGCACAAGUA
rnacentral:rRNA from 1 species